rfam:Oesophagostomum dentatum strain OD-Hann O_dentatum-1.0_Cont1016.3, whole genome shotgun sequence.
CCAACGGCCCUCUUUAGGGCCACAUUGUUCUGUUCGAAUACAUGU